CCUACGGGAGGCAGCAGUGAGGAAUAUUGGUCAAUGGGCGGGAGCCUGAACCAGCCAAGUCGCGUGAGGGAAGAAGGUCCUAUGGAUUGUAAACCUCUUUUGUCAGGGAACAAAGGUGGGCACGAGUGCCUGGUUGUGUGUACCUUAUGAAUAAGCAUCGGCUAACUCCGUGCCAGCAGCCGCGGUAAUACGGAGGAUGCGAGCGUUAUCCGGAUUUAUUGGGUUUAAAGGGUGCGUAGGUGGGUUGUUAAGUCAGAGGUGAAAGUUUGGGGCUCAACCCUAGAAUUGCAGUUGAAACUGGAGGACUGGAGUAGGGUAGAGGUAGGCGGAAUGCGUGGUGUAGCGGUGAAAUGCUUAGAUAUCACGCAGAACUCCGAUUGCGAAGGCAGCUUACUAGGCCCCCACUGACACUGAGGCACGAAAGCGUGGGGAUCAAACAGGAUUAGAUACCCGGGUAGUC
rnacentral:rRNA from 1 species